rnacentral:rRNA from 1 species
AACGAACGCUGGCGGCAGGCCUAACACAUGCAAGUCGAGCGGACCUUUCGGGGUCAGCGGCGGACGGGUGAGUAACGCGUGGGAAUAUGCCCUUCUCUACGGAAUAGUCCUGGGAAACUGGGGGUAAUACCGUAUACGCCCUUUGGGGGAAAGAUUUAUCGGGGACGGAUUAGCCCGCGUUGGAUUAGGUAGUUGGUGGGGUAAUGGCCUACCAAGCCGACGAUCCAUAGCUGGUUUGAGAGGAUGAUCAGCCACACUGGGACUGAGACACGGCCCAGACUCCUACGGGAGGCAGCAGUGGGGAAUCUUAGACAAUGGGGGCAACCCUGAUCUAGCCAUGCCGCGUGAGUGAUGAAGGCCUUAGGGUUGUAAAGCUCUUUCAGCUGGGAAGAUAAUGACGGUACCAGCAGAAGAAGCCCCGGCUAACUCCGUG